GAUGAAGAACGUAGCGAAAUGCGAUAAGUAAUGUGAAUUGCAGAAUUCAGUGAAUCAUCGAGUCUUUGAACGCACAUUGCGCCCCCUGGUAUUCCGGGGGGCAUGCCUGUCCGAGCGUCAUUGCUGCCCUCAAGCACGGCUUGUGUGUUGGGCCCCGCCCCCCGGCUCCCGGGGGGCGGGCCCGAAAGGCAGCGGCGGCACCGCGUCCGGUCCUCGAGCGUAUGGGGCUUCGUCACCCGCUCCGUAGGCCCGGCCGGCGCCCGCCGGCGACCCCCCUCAAUCUUUUCAGGAUGACCUCGGAUCAGGUAGGGAUACCCGCUGAACUUAAGCAUAUCAAUAAGCGGAGGA
rnacentral:misc_RNA from 1 species